UACGGAGGGGGCGAGCGUUGUUCGGAAUCACUGGGUGUAAAGAGCUCGUAGGCGGUUUGUCGCGUCGAAUGUGAAAACCCGGGGCUCAACCCCGGGCCUGCAUUCGAUACGGGCAGACUAGAGUUCGGUAGGGGAGUCUGGAAUUCCUGGUGUAGCGGUGAAAUGCGCAGAUAUCAGGAGGAACACCGAUGGCGAAGGCAGGUCUCUGGGCAUUAACUGACGCUGAGGAGCGAAAGCAUGGGGAGCGAACAGG
rnacentral:rRNA from 1 species